GAUGAAGAACGCAGCGAAAUGCGAUAAGUAAUGUGUAUUGCAGAAUUCAGUGAAUCAUCGAAUCUUUGAACGCACAUUGCGCCCAUUAGUAUUCUAGUGGGCAUGCCUGUUCGAGCGUCAUUUCAACCCUUAAGCCUAGCUUAGUGUUGGGAGACUGCCUAAUACGCAGCUCCUCAAAACCAGUGGCGGAGUCUGUUCGUGCUCUGAGCGUAGUAAUUUUUUAUCUCGCUUCUGCAAGCCGGCCAGACGACAGCCAUAAACCGCACCCUCUCGGGGGGCACUUUUUUAAUGGUUGACCUCGGAUCAGGUAGGAAUACCCGCUGAACUUAAGCAUAUCAAUAAGCGGAGGA
rnacentral:misc_RNA from 1 species